ACCAGCUAUUCUUUUGCUCAAACCUGCCAUGACUGCCUAGCAUGAGGAAAGAACAUUUUACAGUUCAUACUGUCCAGGGAUGGAGAUGAAGGAAGCACUUGAGCAAAUCAAAGUUGAAUUUAAGAAAGAAUAUGAAGCUGGAGGACUCAUGACAUGCUCAUGGAGAAGGGAUGAUCAAUCAUUAGGAGAGGAGCUGGUUUUCAAUAAGACUGAAGAGGUACAUGAAAGCAGAAGUAAACAGUUGAAAGCAAGACUUUCUCAGCAGGGAAGAUUGGCCUCUUUACAUUGGAAGACGUCUGCCUGUGGUGUACGCAUUUCAGAGCCUUCCCACCUGCUUUUGACAAGCUGGAUGAAAUAUAUCAUGGGAAGCCAGGCUUGUGAAGAUCAAGUAUCCAAAGAGUUUACUGUUCUAUUCGAGGAACACAGCCGCUGAUAAAAAGCUUGAGGUUGAUUUUUCCUUAGUGACUUUACCUGGAUGCAUAUGGAGAAACAUGAGCUGCUCACUAUCACUUCUGAGAAUGAGCAGGCAAGUCAACGUUUCCAUGAACGCAGCAGCCCAGACAUGAGGUGAAUCCCUUGCCCAGAGGUUCUUCAAGGCAGCAAUGUGAGCUGGUCAGUCUGCCUUCAGUGAUAUAACAAGGUGAAAUUUGUUGUUGUUGUUGUUUCUGGUUAUUAAAAUUCUUGAAGGCUCAUGAGGGUCAGGUUUAGUAGCUAACUUAUUUUCUCUUUGUGUAAUACAUAGCUUUCUAAUAUAAGCACUAUAUAAUCUCUAAAACAGUGCAUUUUUCAAUGGUAUAAGUGCACCUCACUGCAAUCACUCUCUGGGACAUUAAAGAAUCACCUAUAUGUAAAAA